rnacentral:rRNA from 1 species
AUGGCCUGUAGAUGAGCUCGCGUCUGAUUAGCUAGUUGGUGGGGUAAGAGCUUACCAAGGCGACGAUCAGUAGCUGGUCUGAGAGGAUGAUCAGCCACACUGGGACUGAGACACGGCCCAGACUCCUACGGGAGGCAGCAGUGGGGAAUUUUCCGCAAUGGGCGCAAGCCUGACGGAGCAACGCCGCGUGGGGGAGGAAGGUUUUUGGACUGUAAACCCCUUUUCUCAGGGAAGAACGACAAGUGACGGUACCUGAGGAAUAAGCCUCGGCUAAUUCCGUGCCAGCAGCCGCGGUAAUACGGGAGAGGCAAGCGUUAUCCGGAAUUAUUGGGCGUAAAGCGUCCGCAGGCGGUUAAUCAAGUCUGUUGUCAAAGCCGGGGCUCAACCUCAUAAGGGCAAUGGAAACUGAUCGACUAGAGUAUGGUAGGGGUAGCGGGAAUUCCAGGUGUAGCGGUGAAAUGCGUAGAUAUCUGGAAGAACACCAGCGGCGAAAGCGCGCUACUGGGCCAUAACUGACGCUCAUGACGAAAGCUAGGGGAGCGAAUGGGAUUAGAUACCCCAGUAGUCA